CUGAGUGAGGGCCUUCGGGCUCGACCUCCAACCCUUUGUGAACACCAGCUUGUUGCUUCGGGGGCGACCCUGCCGUUUCGACGGCGAGCGCCCCCGGAGACCAUCAAACACUGCAUCUUUGCGUCGGAGUUUAAGUAAAUUAAACA
rnacentral:misc_RNA from 1 species